UACGAAGGGGGCUAGCGUUGCUCGGAAUCACUGGGCGUAAAGGGUGCGUAGGCGGGUCUUUAAGUCAGGGGUGAAAUCCUGGAGCUCAACUCCAGAACUGCCUUUGAUACUGGAGGAUCUUGAGUUCGGGAGAGGUGAGUGGAACUGCGAGUGUAGAGGUGAAAUUCGUAGAUAUUCGGAAGAACACCAGUGGCGAAGGCGGCUCACUGGACUGGUAUUGACGCUGAGGUGCGAAAGCGUGGGGAGCAAACAGG
rnacentral:rRNA from 1 species